AUAUCUACGAACGGAACAUAAAAAUUGAUGAAAUUGAAGUGAACUUAAUAGUAGGCAAGACACAGAAUAUAUACUAUACAGAAGGGUCACUCUUGUCGGAGCCUUUGAUGUUUUGGGGGCCGCGCAUGCUGCUUCGCGCAUCUCGGCCGCCAUCUUCCUUGCCAGUCAAUUUCUGACAAACAAUAUAAGGAUUGUAAAGAGAAGUACAAAUAUUUGCCUGUAUCUCUUCAAUAAGGUCGUAGAUUUGUUCCUAGCGAGAGUUUGAAAAAAUUUGAGUGGUUUGGCACUUUGAUGCAGUUUAGAAGUUCAGAUGACCUGCAUCAUAAUGUAUUGAAAAAGCAUUGAAUCUUGACAGUCACUUUCAUUUGAUUCAUCCGAGGUGUAUGCGGGUUCAUUUAUUUUCCUUCUAAAGAUGGAGAAAUCAAAACAGGAAUGCUUGAGUCAGCUUUGCAGAAUUGUGCCACUUCCUGAAAGCACGGGUGAACUGGAUGGAGGUCGGAUUGUCGCUGUUGCCACCCUGCUGACGAAUUGCUCCAAAAAAGUUCACUAUUGGGUGUAUUAUUGGAUAGUAUAGCACUUGUUUGGCAAGAAAAAUCUGAAGUUUGGCUUUCUGUACUAGGCCCACUUUCAUCAACUUCGUGCAAUGGUGAAUGUUUAUCUGGUGGCUCUAAACAUAAACUUAAGAGUAAUAACUAAUUCAAAGUGGUGACCAAAAGCUUGAGAUGGAAAAUAAAAUGCAAAAUGAAUAACUUUAGCUAUAAUUACAUCUCACCAAUACUAAUGGUCAAGAAUUAGAACUGAAAUAGUUUCCCAUAUAUCAAUGAAAUCAUGCAAUGAAAUCAUACAAUAGAACUUCUCAUACCACCUUUCCUUUUUUCCUGAUCUUUAUCCAUUUUAGAUUUUUUGGCUGUAAAAUAAAUUUGUCUAAUUUCAUCUUGAAA